UUCCAUGCAGUCGACGGCAGCAUAGGAGCUUGCUCCUGAUGGCGAGUGGCGAACGGGUGAGUAAUAUAUCGGAACGUGCCCUAGAGUGGGGGAUAACUAGUCGAAAGACUAGCUAAUACCGCAUACGAUCUACGGAUGAAAGUGGGGGAUCGCAAGACCUCAUGCUCCUGGAGCGGCCGAUAUCUGAUUAGCUAGUUGGUGGGGUAAAAGCCUACCAAGGCAACGAUCAGUAGCUGGUCUGAGAGGACGACCAGCCACACUGGGACUGAGACACGGCCCAGACUCCUACGGGAGGCAGCAGUGGGGAAUUUUGGACAAUGGGGGCAACCCUGAUCCAGCAAUGCCGCGUGAGUGAAGAAGGCCUUCGGGUUGUAAAGCUCUUUUGUCAGGGAAGAAACGGUAGUAGCGAAUAACUAUUACUAAUGACGGUACCUGAAGAAUAAGCACCGGCUAACUACGUGCCAGCAGCCGCGGUAAUACGUAGGGUGCAAGCGUUAAUCGGAAUUACUGGGCGUAAAGCGUGCGCAGGCGGUUGUGUAAGUC
rnacentral:rRNA from 1 species